rnacentral:rRNA from 1 species
UACGGAGGGUGCAAGCGUUAUCCGGAUUCACUGGGUUUAAAGGGUGCGUAGGAGGGCAGGUAAGUCAGUGGUGAAAUCUCCGAGCUUAACUUGGAACUGCCGUUGAUACUAUCUGUCUUGAAUACCGUGGAGGUGAGCGGAAUAUGUCAUGUAGCGGUGAAAUGCUUAGAUAUGACAUAGAACACCAAUUGCGAAGGCAGCUCGCUACACGAAUAUUGACUCUGAGGCACGAAAGCGUGGGGAUCAAACAGG